UUAAGUAUAAUAAAUUAUUAGGAAGGAUUAAAAAAACAUACAGUAUUCUGAUAAUUUCCAAGUUUUCGAAAGCAGAUAACAUUGAUAGACAAAUUGAGAAAUAUCUUCCAUAGAGUUUAAUGUUACUGUCAUUACUUGCUAAACCAUCCUAAUAUAAGUGCAUUGUCAUGGUGCUGUCUGUUUUCCCUCUCCCCUCUCCCUUGUUUUUUGUCUGUCGUGUGCUGAGUGGGUGUGGCGCUCCUGGCUCUCUCUCCCUCCUCGUCAAGACACCUGUGGCUUCCUGUUCACCUGAUUCACAUCCAGCAAUCACCACUCCUGUUUUAAAACCCCAGCUUUCCAACCAGUCUCUGCCAGAUCAUCCGUUCACCCAAGUGGUAACACUUGCUACGGCCAGCCUCAAUUCCCACUACAGCCCUGGAAGCCCAGUCUGCCUGUCUGAGCCUUGUUCUUCUCUCGAACCUGCUUCUCACCUGUCUGCCCGCUCUCAGCCCCAGGGGAUAUCCAGCACCUGCAUCACUCAUUUUUUGUGUUCAAUAAACCUCAAUACCUGUUC